GACGAACGCUGGCGGCGUGCUUAACACAUGCAAGUCGAACGGAAAGGCCCUGCUUUUGUGGGGUGCUCGAGUGGCGAACGGGUGAGUAACACGUGAGUAACCUGCCCUUGACUUUGGGAUAACUUCAGGAAACUGCGGCUAAUACCGGAUAGGAGCUCCUGCUGCAUGGUGGGGGUUGGAAAGUUUCGGCGGUUGGGGAUGGACUCGCGGCUUAUCAGCUUGUUGGUGGGGUAGUGGCUUACCAAGGCUUUGACGGGUAGCCGGCCUGAGAGGGUGACCGGCCACAUUGGGACUGAGAUACGGCCCAGACUCCUACGGGAGGCAGCAGUGGGGAAUAUUGCACAAUGGGCGGAAGCCUGAUGCAGCAACGCCGCGAGCGGGAUGACGUCCUUCGGGUUGUAAACCGCUGUCGCCUGUGACGAAGCGGGAGUGACGGUAAUGGGUAAAGAAGCACCGGCUAACUACGUG
rnacentral:rRNA from 1 species